rnacentral:rRNA from 1 species
GUGGGGAAUAUUGGACAAUGGGGGCAACCCUGAUCCAGCCAUGCCGCGUGAAUGAUGAAGGCCUUCGGGUUGUAAAGUUCUUUUGGAGGGGACGAUGAUGACGGUACCCUCAGAAUAAGCUCCGGCUAACUUCGUGCCAGCAGCCGCGGUAAUACGAAGGGAGCUAGCGUUGUUCGGAAUUACUGGGCGUAAAGGGCGCGUAGGCGGUUUGGUUAGUCAGAUGUGAAAGCCCAGGGCUUAACCCUGGAACUGCGUUUGAUACUGCCAAGCUUGAAUUCGGGAGAGGUGAGUGGAAUUCCCAGUGUAGAGGUGAAAUUCGUAGAUAUUGGGAAGAACACCGGUGGCGAAGGCGGCUCACUGGACCGACAUUGACGCUGAGGCGCGAAAGCGUGGGGAGCAAACAGGAUUAGAAACCCCGGUAGUCC